rnacentral:rRNA from 1 species
UACGAAGGGAGCUAGCGUUGUUCGGAAUCACUGGGCGUAAAGCGCACGUAGGCGGAUUUGUCAGUCAGGGGUGAAAUCCCGGGGCUCAACCUCGGAACUGCCUUUGAUACAGCAAGUCUUGAGUUCGAGAGAGGUGGGUGGAAUUCCUAGUGUAGAGGUGAAAUUCGUAGAUAUUAGGAAGAACGCCGGUGGCGAAGGCGGCCCACUGGCUCGAUACUGACGCUGAGGUGCGAAAGCGUGGGGAGCAAACAGG